rnacentral:rRNA from 1 species
CCUACGGGUGGCAGCAGUGAGGAAUAUUGGUCAAUGGACGAGAGUCUGAACCAGCCAAGUAGCGUGAAGGAUGACUGCCCUAUGGGUUGUAAACUUCUUUUAUAUGGGAAUAAAAUGUUCCACGUGUGGGAUUUUGUAUGUACCAUAUGAAUAAGGAUCGGCUAACUCCGUGCCAGCAGCCGCGGUAAUACGGAGGAUCCGAGCGUUAUCCGGAUUUAUUGGGUUUAAAGGGAGCGUAGGUGGAUUGUUAAGUCAGUUGUGAAAGUUUGCGGCUCAACCGUGAAAUUGCAGUUGAAACUGGCAGUCUUGAGUACAGUAGAGGUGGGCGGAAUUCGUGGUGUAGCGGUGAAAUGCUUAGAUAUCACGAAGAACUCCGAUUGCGAAGGCAGUUCACUGGACUGCAACUGACACUGAGGCUCGAAAGUGUGGGUAUCAAACAGGAUUAGAUACCCGUGUAGUC